AUUGAACGCUGGCGGCAUGCCUUACACAUGCAAGUCGAACGGCAGCGGGGGAGAAGCUUGCUUUUCCUGCCGGCGAGUGGCGAACGGGUGAGUAAUACAUCGGAACGUGCCCUGUAGUGGGGGAUAACGAGUCGAAAGAUUAGCUAAUACCGCAUACGACCUGAGGGUGAAAGCGGGGGACCGCAAGGCCUCAUGCUAUAGGAGCGGCCGAUGUCUGAUUAGCUGGUUUGUGGGGUAAAGGCCUACCAAGGCGACGAUCAGUAGCUGGUCUGAGAGGACGAUCAGCCACACUGGGACUGAGACGCGGCCCAGACUCCUACGGGAGGCAGCAGUGGGGAAUUUUUGACAAUGGGCGAAAGCCUGAUCCAGCAAUGCCGCGUGUGUGAAGAAGGCCUUCGGGUUGUAAAGCACUUUUGUCCGGAAAGAAAUGGCUCUGGUUAAUACCUGGGGUCGAUGACGGUACCGGAAGAAUAAGGACCGGCUAACUACGUGCCAGCAGCCGCCGUAAUAC
rnacentral:rRNA from 1 species